rnacentral:snoRNA from 1 species
UGCCUUUGUGUUCCCAUUCAUUACCUUCUAAAAUGAAUGUGGUGUCAAAAAAGGCAAACAAUAAUUCUUGAUUGGACUGUGUGAGGGGCUGGCAAUUUGCCUUUCUCCUCCCUGUUUUUGCAAGGACAGAA